rnacentral:lncRNA from 1 species
GGGUGGUCACGGGCACCGGGCGGCCGCGCGGAAAGGAGCGGCCUCCCCCGGGGCCGGGCGCGCGGAGAGCGGCGAGGAAAGCCCGGGCUGGGCUGGGCUAGGCUGGCCACCGCGCUGGCGACGGGAGCAGACGCGGGUCCCGGGAGACGCCUCCCAGCGCCCCUGUCUCUCGCUCUCGCCGUCUCCCGGUGCAGCCCGCACCCGCCUCCCUCCAAACGCUGGCGGCCCGCGCUGCAGGCGCCUCCCCUCCUGGGGGUGCUGAGGCUUGAGCGAAAUCCCACUGGACAGUAACCGGCUUCAGCGGAGCGAAAACUCAGCCGCACUCCAGCUACGCUCCAGGGCAAGCUGCGCCGGGCACCGUUUCUUCCUUGUGACGUUCAAAAGAAUGCAGAUGGGUUACCAACUACAGGAGAGGUUAAACUUGAGGGCGUGCUUUUUAAAUUCAUUAUCAACGUUUUCAUGGAAAGAACCGGCUAAGGAGUCGAUCUGUCUUCCAGUUUUAUCCCUAGACUCAAAUUAGGACAUGGGCUGGCUCUCAGUGAGCACUCAGUAAACAGCAAGUCUCCUCCUGCCCUUUGAAAAAGCGUUUCGGAUCAUCUUGGCAUUGUAAGCGAUUUUCAUCUAGUUCCAGUCCAAGUGUGACUGGCUUUACACAGGUUACUCCCCCUCCUGGACUUUCAGGUUCGUUCUUUCAGCAUCUUUUCAGGGCCCUCAAUCAUGCCAUCAUGUCAAAUGCAUUCACAAAUUUUAAAAACAAAUCGUCAAGUCAAAAACACAUAAUUGAUCUAGCCCGUCCCCAGCCCUCUAAUUCUUCAGGAUCCUGCAAACCGACUUCUGUGCCGGCUGUUCCACGGGGACUGCACUGACGAAAGUCACUUCGUGGUUUUGAAAAUCCCCUAAACCAUUGUAUAUUU